rnacentral:rRNA from 1 species
GUGCCAGCCGCCGCGGUAAUACGUUGGUGGCAAGCGUUGUCCGGAUUUAUUGGGCGUAAAGCGAGCGCAGGCGGUUUCUUAAGUCUGAUGUGAAAGCCCCCGGCUCAACCGGGGAGGGUCAUUGGAAACUGGGAGACUUGAGUGCAGAAGAGGAGAGUGGAAUUCCAUGUGUAGCGGCGAAAUGCGUAGAUAUAUGGAGGAACACCAGUGGCGAAGGCGGCUCUCUGGUCUGUAACUGACGCUGAGGCUCGAAAGCGUGGGGAGCAAACAGG